GCACUGGAUCGACCUGCCCUGUCGGCGGA
rnacentral:sRNA from 1 species